rnacentral:sRNA from 1 species
CUUCUUCGAUCUGCUGCGGACAGAUGAAAUGGAUGUGCGUAUCGACCCCGCCGGCGGUGACGAUCAUGCCUUCGCCCGCAAUGAUCUCGGUGGCGCCGCCGAUGGCCAUCGUCACGCCCGGCUGGAUGUCGGGGUUGCCGGCCUUGCCGAUGGCGGCGAUCUGGCCGUCCUUCAAGCCGAUAUCGGCUUUCACGAUGCCCCAGUGGUCGAGGAUCACGGCAUUGGUGAUCACCGUGUCCAUCACGUCCCGGUGCGGCAGCUGCGAUUGGCCCAUGCCGUCGCGGAUG